GAGCGCCCAACCAGCGGCGGCCCACACCGCCGCCCGCCCGCCGGCGCAGCGCCGCGCCGCGCCCGGGGCCGCUACACCUGGGCCCAGGCGGAGGGGGGCCGGGCCGUGACUGCGACACCGUCCCGCGGGAGGGGGCUGUGGGGAAAGGCGGCGGGGUGGGGUGCUUCCAGCCCGGCGUCCGCCUGCCUGAGGGCCGUCCCAGCCGCCGGCCAUCGCCCUCCGAACGGCCGUCCCAAGCGCCGCACCUGAGCGCGCCGUCCCGGCCGGCGAGCGGCCGGAGCGCUGGGAAUCUUCUGGGAAAGAAAAGCAGCAUUGGACAAACUUUAAAAUAAUUUUAAACCUCAGUGUCUAUGAAGGUGUAACUGACCCAGGUACUCUUAAGCCUAAAUCCAGGAGCAAAAUGGAGUUUUUCUAAACUGGUUAUCCCUUUCAGCUCAAGCUCAGGUGGGGAUGGAUACUGGAAUUAGCAAUGGUGAGUUUAUUUCCUCCAUAGGAGACAGAAAGAGAACAAAAGAGAUUUGAUGGGGAGUUGGGAUACAAGAUGAAAACCAGGAUUGUCUGGAUGAAGAGAUCAGAUGUUGCAAAGAGAGGUGAGGAUACUGAAGAGUGCCAUGAAGUCUGCACCUGACCUUUUUGCAAAAGUAAGGGUCUGGCAGAAACCACUCUCUGAUCAUGUAAUUAGGAAUUGUAUCAUAAUCUGAAAAAAAAAGGUGUAUCAAAUUCUUUUUGCAGAUGAGAAUUUAGUUGUCAUUUCCUAACUGUGUAGUUCAGUUUGCAACCACAGUGAUGUUCUAUUAAUGUAGUUUUUGCGUGUAAGGCUGGGUAUUACAGAAAAAGAAUGGAGAAGAUGGGGUCUUAAUGAAGUUUUUGUUGCUUCAAGCUUAUACUGACUGCAUUACUCACAAGUACCUAUAUGAACAGGAAGCUUUUUUUCCUAGUUUCUUUCUAGUGAUGGCAUUUAUAGAAAAAAAAAACAACAAACAAACUAAUAGGCACAAAUAAGAGUUAGAUGCCCAGAUGUGUUUUAUGCAAUUGAAGGUCUCAGAAUGUUGACACCCCAAAACAUUUAUGUUUGUGUCGCCUACAUUUAGAAUAGGAUUCUGCCAUCAGAUUUGCGGUUUGCUCCCUGAAAUAAUGCUCACAACAGGUAUUCUCCCUUCUGGGCAUUUUUUAAGAAACUGAGGCACUAAUGAAUUACAUUUUUUGAAGAAUUUUCUGACAGCGUCAGUGUAACAGGGCACGAACAGGAAGACGAUUCUAUCCACCAGCAUGUACAUGGUAAAGGCUUAGAUGCAAGUGACACCUGCAUGACAAAUUGGGUGAUAGAAGAUACAGCUGUCAUUGCUUGAUUUCCAUCCAUCUGCCCCAUUACCUCAGUAGAUCAAUUGUUUUAUAUACUAGUAAUCACAUGCACAUGAUUCUUUUGAUAAUCUCUCUCACUACUGUUGAGCAGAUUUACACUCACAACAGAGAAAGUUGUAGCCUACCCUUCCUGCAGUAACUUGUAGCAGAAUGUUUAUUUAACUAACUUCAGGUGAUAAAAUGUCAAAUCCAGCAGAGGUGCAAGCAGAGCAUACUGUCUUAAGACAUUAAAAGGCUGAUUUGAAGAAGGAAUUGCACCAGCUGAAUUAAUAUUAUGUUCCAGUCGAUUUUCUAGACCUGUGUUCCUUCUGCUAGGAAGGGAGGUAGCCUUUGGGAAAAUACUAAUUUUCAGUUUCCUCUGCUGCAAAGAAUAGUCUCAGAAGAAGGACAUGCUUGAAACCAGUUGUCACAAAAUGUUUGGGUUGGACAGAGAGCCUGAGAUUUCACAAAUACGCCUCAGAUAUGCAGGGCAACGGAGUUUCAGCAUAGUGUAUGUCUCUGGUAUAACUGACACUUAACAUGCUACUUUGAAGGCAUCCUUUGCAGGAAAUUUCAGUAGACCCAGCAUCCAGCCUGUCCACAGAGUAGUUGUGCAGUUCUGCACCAAGUCUAGGGAGAAAGUGGCAAUUUCUACCCUAGAAUCUUAGCAUAUAUUGGACUGAUUAACAUCCUUUGAAUGACAGGAUUACACAUGGUCAUUAGCCCCACAACUCUCUACUUCCCAAUUAAUUUUGGUGCAAAAAUAUAGAUACCUUUUAUUUUUUUGUAUUUUCCUCUUCCCUUAUUUUUGUAAACAAAGGUCUAAAAAUCAGAAUGUUUGGAGACCCUGGGGCAUCUGCCUUUCUCUGGAGACUGAAGAUGGUUAUCUCAAAAUGAUGUAUUAGCUUCUUAGCAGGCUGCUAUCUCUAGGAGUCUGAAAGCAAUAUCCAUGCUUCUAUUAGGUGUGUGUCAUUUCACCAGGGAUAGAAAGAUAUGGACCUAUUUUCUAAAAUUGCAUGAAGUGGGAAGAGUAAAUGCAGGAGGACAAGUAGUUAAUAGAAAUUACUAAGAAAUACAAUACUAAAAAUAUCCUGUCUGUUUUAAUUAAAAGUAAACCGUCCCCACCAGUUUAAAUUACACGUACUCCCCUCUGAGCGGGAAAGAGAAAAAAGAAAUUUCCAUCUCCAGCUUUUGAAACUUCAUCUGUCUCCUGGGUACUGAGCACCAAAUCUUCAGCUGGCAGAUGUCAGCAGACAGUGCUGAAACUUUACCAUAUUUCUGAAGGAUCCAUCCGACACCAGGCUGCCAGCUUAAGUGUCAAAAUCCCAAAUACUCUCAGCGCUACUUGAGGGCAAUCACAAGAAUUGCCUGGGGACCUUGCACAAUGUUGUCAGCCUGACAAGGCUAAGAUGGGUAGCAGAGCAAACCAUUCUGCAGGUGGGUAGAGCAUACACUUCAUUCCUUAGCCUCUUCCUGUAGCUACUAUGGCUGUUACCAGCUCUGCCUCCAGUACUGCUGCUCAAACCUAUUGCUUUCCUGAGACCUAGACAUUCGUUCAUGAUGAACCACAUCAGCAGUACACUGGCUCUUUAAACCUGGGGAAGACAGUGUCAAAGCAAACCAGACACCAUAAAUAAUGUUACAGAGUAGACUUGGAGGGGGCAGUGAGCAAAGAGGAAGGAACCAAAGAGUGGAUCAUGGACUUACAAAGUUUAGGUGAAAUGAACGCGCCAGUACACCAGGCUGGAAUGUAACUGGUGGAAAUGUGGGCACAAAUAUCUUUUUGUCUGGUUAAGUCUGUUGAUGAGAAAAAUUACAUAGCUUCUAAUUGGCAUGCAUGUUAAAAACUAUGCCCCAAACAAGUGGAAAUUAGAUAAGAUUCUGAACAUGCUGUAUAACAGGAGUCCAAAUAAACAGGGCUCAGAGGGAGAGGAAAUUACAAGUGAAUUUUAGCAGUCGCUGCAAAUUAUCUCAAAUAAGUUCUUUAUAUUUAUGUGCUUCUGUGAUGUCAAGCUGCAGGAGCUCAGGAAUUUUCCAGAGCUUGUUGCAAGUGCUGUGGCUCGGUGGAGGUCUGAGGCUCUUUGGGACAAGAUUGAAGAUCCCAUCUCUAGCCUCAAUGAGUCACUAACAACUAUGGGUGCUGAGACCACAACUAUGAAAAAGCUGUACAGACAUGCUAAACACUGCAUGCUGCCCAUUAUCCCAGAGAAAUCAAGAAGGCUUUUAUAGGAACAUGUAAACCUUUGCAGCAGACCAGCCCCAGGUGUGGACCAGGUAAGCUGUGGUCCAGCAAGCUGCUUUGUCUAUGCCAGGGCCAUGGAAAACCAGGUUGGCUGCUGUGACUGCGGUUGUCACCACCCAGGGAACAGGCAGGUUGUCUGGUGUUAUGUCCACCGCUGCAUUUUAGAGGCCUCUCCAGCAGUGCUGUCUCCAGCCACAGGCUACCCACCCUCUCAGAGUUGCUGAAGGUGUGCAGCAGCCUGUCUCCCUCCAUUUCUUUUCCCAUAGCAACAGCAGCCCCAUCCUUAGUCACCCUGCUUUGAGGCAGAAACAUUGCGUUUUGCAUGUGUUGUGAGAAGUGUUGAGAUGGCUCUGCAUUGCAGGACUGGGGCUUACAUGUAUACCAGAAAACCCCUCUGAAUUAGUUAUAAAAGUUGAUGUGCCCUGUUUACCUCUUUGGGAGGUUUUGACAAAUGAACAACAAAAAAGGCAGCUUCUUAAGAGUUUUUGAAUGGUGGAAGGUGACCCAGUCUGGGACAACACGGGAACAGAAGGCGAGUGAAAAUCAAAUGUGCAUGAACCAUUUAUCAUCAUUAGAGAUUACUAGGUAGGAUCGCUACGUAUAUUUGAACACCUAAAUGCUUUUUUUUUAAUUCUAGGGAAAGCCUACUACAUUUUUCUCUAUCAAGAAAUGCUACCUAAAGGUAUUACUCUCAGUAGUUCUGGGUGAGAGAUAAGUAAUUUCAUACAGUGCUAUUCACAUUCCAUACAACUAAACUCACCACCUUUCUAAAAGCAACAGUCAAAACAACCCUCCCUCCGAAGUACACAGAUCCAUAAAUUGUUUAAAACCUUAUCUCACAUUCACUUACACACAAAAUAAGGGUCUCCCUAUGUUCUAAACUGUGAGAUUUGGUGAAUGAAUGAUGCAGAAUCCCCUCCUAGAAUUGCAGGGUCUAUACGUCUCAUGAGGCACUGAAUCUCUCCACUGAUUUUGGCAAGAAUCUGCUCUAUUCCCCUACCCUUCCCAGUUCCUUUAUUUGAAAAACAAAAAAAAUUAAACAGCCUGAAUCAAUUAUCACAUAAGUAAUUGUUUCAGAGAGAACCAAAAGAUGCAGUAGUAAAGAAGAACUAGUUAGGUGGAAUCUGCUACUGGUGUUAUGAAAACAUUGCUUUGGGAAAUAAGUUCCUAAGUAGUAAUCUGUGAUACAGAAUUAGUUUUUCGGUUUGAUGCAUGUUCUCUUCAGAGGGGAAAAAGAAAUCAGCCUGAUUUCUCUACUUUCGUAGUUACAAGAACCUCUUUUCUGAAUUUGUGAUCUGUUCAUUUCACAUGUUUCCAGAUUCCCUUGAUCUGUUAAAGCAGUAAUUCAGGGGUGGAAGUAGAAAUACGUGGGCAGCGGGAGGGAGUAAAAGGUAACCAGGACGAAGAACAAUUGUGUGAUGCACAAUCAAGGUACUGAAGAACUUUUUUGCUUAUUUCUUGUUUUUUUCUUUUUCCCUUUGUGGCUUGCGUUGGUGAGAUUUACAGUCUAAAAGCUUUAACUCACUGUUAAUACUGAUUCUUGUCUGGGAAUAUAUGCAUUUAAAUGCUCAUACUGUUGUAGGCACUGAAAUUCAGCAACACUUUUUUACACUGCUAUUCUACAAAAAGCAUAGGGAAUGCCCGUAAGAGGAUCUUUUCCUUUAGCAAAAAGACACAACCUGAUUAGAACAUUAUGUAAUCUUUAAUACGUUUUUCGUAUCUUUGGUGUCUAACUCGGAACUCAACUCCUCAGAUACUGGUGGUAACAGCAAGUGGGAAAACAUAAAAUUUCCGGCCUGAUGACUUUUUCAUGGGUUGUCCAGAACCGAUGGGUAUUGCUAGAUGAGAAGGAGCACAUGUGAGGGAAAGAAGGAUGGCGGCCAACAGUAAGAGUCACUGUUGUACCUUCCUCUACCGCUAUGUCAAGAAGCCAGCGCUCCACCCGUAAGCAGGGAUGGGUUGGUGGAAGGUUAGGAACACUGGCCUCCAGAGGAGGUUGGGAAUUUCUGAGCAGGAAGAUGAUCUUUGAAUGCAAAUCCCCACAAGUGAGUAAAUAAAAAUAAGCAUUAAGAAUGUGUGAGGGGAAAAAAAAAAUGGAGGGCAGGGGAGAGGGGUAUGGCAGGGAGAAGAUACUGCAGCAUGGUGAAAGAAAAGGUGGAGGUGGAUAAUGGAGCCAGAGACCUAUGCAAAAAUAAAUGCAAAGGAUGAAGGAAAAAGAGACUUUGCUGUUUCAAAGGACUGAAGGAAGUAAUUAAAAUGAAAUCUGGGAGAAAAUCGUAGAGAAGAAACAGGGAAGACUAAAAUCUGAAUUGCAGCCCACAGAUCUCCCAGUGCACUGAAUGUCUAGCUCAACAAACCUAAUCCAAUUUGUGUAACAUUCAAAAUACCUUUAGUUAAUUUUGUAACCUCCUCACUGGAAAUGCAGUACACUUUCUAUACCACUAAAGAUGUGCCUCACAAGUGGAAGUAGUGAUUAAUUUGAUGAAUAAUUAACCAUUGAGUCCAACUGUCCCAUCAGUAACCAACUUGAACGGAGAGACCGGUGAAUGUGAUGACAGGCAGUGGAACAUUAAUGAGUAAAAUAAUGAUAAUCCUAUAGAGGUUAAAUGGGAAGGACAAAACAGCUAUUUUGGCUCUUGCCCAGUCUGAGCUUGUGCACUAAAGAGGUGCAGUCAGUUGGUCUCCAAAUGUUACAGACCAAAGCAAAAGUUAAGACAAAAGGGCUGAGCCUAUCCCUGAUCUGAUCUCUUAUAAAAGGGAGAGGGCAUUUUAUCAAUAUCCACUCUGAGUACAAAUGAAUUUAAGGAAGAACUGAUAUAUUUGGUUUAUAAAUACAGUGUAGAAAACAAUCCCUAAUUUUUUAAGAGUUCCCUACAUCUUUCAAGGACUCCUGCCCCCUUUUAUUAUCCAAUAUGGAUCAUGCUGAAAAUAAAUUCGUCUAUGGAAUGCAGCAUGUCCAAUAAAUGCAUUAACAUCUUAUCCAAGGAGAUUGUUCAAGAGAUUUUUUAAAUGGUUGGUACAUUUUAUGUGCAGCAAAGGUCUUUAGAAGUGUCUCUCUAUCUUGGUUUGCUGUUAAUUUGGCAAGGACUGAAGCUCUAGGCAUCAUCACAGACUAAGGCUAUGUUAGAUGGGAUGAACCUCUGAUGAACAUUGACCACUGAGACUAAUAAUACCUAAUUAUGGCAAAUGUUUCUCCCACAUGAGCACUCACAAUUCUUCACACAACAGAUACUGAGAAUAUUCACAGCUGCUUUUGUCCCUCCUGGUAAACUGAUGAAUCUCCCACCAAAAUGCAAAUGAAAAUGCGUCCUUCAUCAUAGCACCAUGGUCUCAUCCUUUCUGCUUCCACCUUUAUUAACAGAAAGAUUGUUCAAAAAAGAAACCAACCACAUCAACAACCAAAACACCAAAGCAAAAUAACUCAGGGCAAGAACUUAGGCUCAGCUGUUGCUGGCUUUCCUUCUCCAGGAACUUUUUCCCAAAUAUUCAAAGUCUAACAGUCCACUUCUGCCUCCAGCAGGCAGCAGGAGAUUCUGGCAGGUUCCAGUCUCUGCUGUGAGUCUGGGGCAGCAAGACGUUCCUGCUCAUUUGUCAAGUUCAAUUUGAAGUUCAGCUAAAGAUUUUUGUGUUAUGAGAGUUUCACAGCCCCUUUCUGGAGAAUGCAAUGCAGAUGAAACAUUUGAAUUAGCAAAAGGAUAUUGCAGAGUCUGCAAUGCAAAAUUAUACCAGAUAAAAUUGCAGAGAGAGCAUUUUUGAGAGAAAGAGAAAUAAAUGUCGCAUUGGGGUUAGAGCCCUCAGAGAUAAAAGUUAGAAGAGGAACUCUGUGACUUCAAGGGACUUUGGAAAAUGGUAGCUUAUUCCUCAGAGAAUGCAGCAACGAACCAGCUGGUAGGGAGGGGUGAUGCCAGAUGCUACCACGUCUGCAUUGAGGUAGGAGGGGAGCAGACGAAGUAAAGGGAACGUGUUGCAGUAUAAUAGACAGCUAGAGGAAUUUUACUUCAGGAAAUAAAAGCAUAAGAAGAAAAAAAUACAGCAGUCCAGCAUACUCGGAACUGGAGGUUAAUGUGGAGCUCUAUUGUCUCCCAAAGACAGAGAUAAUUUUCUCUUAAUGAGAAUUUUAUUAUUGUUGCUCAUCUCCAUGACACAGGAGAAUCAUGGCUCUGGGUUCUCACAGAGGCAAAGUUACAGCCAACCAUUGCUCCAGGGAGUGACAGAGGAGAAAGGUUUGUAGUGCUGGUGACAAGUUUUCUGUGGAGGAUGCGGAGGGGAAAGAAAAAAAAUGCUUUGAAGAUGCCGUACACAAUCAUUUAAGUUUCAAGCUGGGACUGACGUAAAUCUCACACUGAGAAUGAAGGAUGACAGAGUUGCUGUGGGACUAGCAGCUAGCAAUGGACCACACCGUGAAGACAGUUUUUCGCUUACACAUUAACUUCACAAUAUGCAGUUUUCAGUCCUGUUGAUGUUGAUGCACCCUUAUGUUUCUAGCAGCUGCCUAUACACUGUAUGUAUUAUGGUAAAGGACUAACGAAUCAGAGAAUGCUUUCUCAUGAGACUAAGCUAAGCAAGAUGCCUGUCUGGUGGUAGCCAGCUUCUCUACUAAUAAAAAAUUCAAACCAUUACAUCUCCUUCAUUCUAGGACUGUCUCCAACACUUAGUCAGCCUCUGCCUUACAAAAGAGCUGACAGUUAGACCAAUUUUAAAGCAUACAGAUCUCCUAGUCGGGACUGCAUCUUUCCCUAAGGAAGCAGAACUGAGCUUAAAAACCAAAACAAUAUACCCUGAAACCACUAGUUUUAAGUGGAGCUUGUCACUAGACAGGUACCCAAUAAAGGAGUGUUUUAAACCACUUUUCCCUGGCAUCCCUUUCACCUAUGACUGUUGACGUGAAAAUCAGCUCACAGGAGCACUGUAAGCACAGAAGCAACAACAUCAAGCCCUGACCCCUCUUUCUGGCAAAUGCAACUGGAGGGACAGCUGAGAAUGUGCUUUGCUGGGGUAGAAGCAGCAAUACAGAAAACAUUCAUUUCCCUAGCAACUAGGACAACCUCUUCUUUAAUUAGCACAUCAUGGUCUGAACUUUGCUAAUAAAACCUGCCUACACUGCACGCUAACCAUGGGUUAGGUAAUCUUGCACUUGCCAACAUACGGCAGCCUACCACGCUUCAGCAUCCUGACAUUCUCUGCACUAGCACGCUGUUCUUAGGUCCCACAUCUGCAGGCAUGCUGUGGGUGGUGGUAAUGAAUGAUACAUCCUUGCGGUUUCUCACCCUGGACUCAUGAUCCCAUAUCCCAUCACACAUUUCUCUGGGCUGGCAGGCAUAGGGUGCUGUGGAACAGCUUCUGUGUGCUCUCUUGGGAUUUGAGAGGUUACUGUCAAUGCCAAAAGAAUUAGUUUCCUGGCUUAGCAGAUACGUUAGAGGAGUAAGAGAGCUACCUCACUGCCCAAACAGCCCCCCUUUGCCUGUCCUCCCUGCUUGCUACUCUGUGCCACCUUCUUCUGGAGCUUCAUUCCCAGCAGUAUCACCGACGACUAAUGGACUUGCGUAGGAAGUCACCAAGAUGCAGUGGCACCAGCGAUUACAGAAUACACUCUUCUAGAAGGUACAUCAUAUAGGUUUGUAGUGCGGUUGUGCUCUGCUUCUGCCCCAAUAUUACAGGGAAAUAAAUAAAAACCUGGUCAAGGGAAACUAAGUAUGUGGAUGAAAACAAGUUCUGAGAAAAAAUAAAAACAAGGGUUUACUAAACCGUCGUCACAGCUCUAACUGCAGCUCAUAUAGACCCACUGAAAUGUCUAUCAGUGUAGCAAUAGUAGUGCUAAGUCUAGAGCAGACAGUAAAACUGGUCUGAGAUACUACAUGCUCAAAUAUUUAUUCUGGGCUGAGUUCUGUACUGCUGUGAGUAUUGGAGAGGUAGAGUCCAAAGCUAGCAUGGGUAUGCCUGUAUGAAAUCCUACCACUCCAGUGGAGCAAAUCAUGCUCUGAGACAACAGGACUCAGUAAGUGGGAGAAAUAGUGCAUUCAAAAGAGGAGAAAACUAAAUUUUGAUGUUUUAAAAUGCAUUAUUUAUUAACAAUAUGAAUUAAGGAAGCAAACUCUUUCUGUUUUGAUGAAUUAAUACUGGGGAUUAGGGAAAGAACAUAUGAUCACGUGCUGUGUUUGGAAAGCCUGUGGAUGAGCCUGUGACUACUUGCAGGAUAACCUUCAGUAUGCUUUUACCUGCGGUUUACAUAAAAGUUUAUGUCAGGAGAUUUCUUAGUUACAAGACUACAAUGUUAGAAAGGUCAGACGGAGAGUAUUUUACAAUAAAGCAGAGAUGAUUUCUGAAGGUAUCUGCUUUGGGUUUUGGUUUUGUUUUUUUAACGUUGAACAACUAUGAACUGAAGGAGGAAGCUUCUGCCAUCCUACAAGAAGAAAGAUACCUAUUCAGUAUACCAGACACCCCUUGUAAAUGUACUCUCUGAAAACCAAGAAAUCCACCUCAGGAUCAGUAAAUUCUCUGAGUGCCCAUACAUGCUGCACAGUAUCAUGCACACAUAAAAUAUCAAGCCCACUUUCUCAAAUCAGGAUAAUACUUGCAAUACCAGCAACAAGGUGCUUUUCUUCUGUGUUUGAAAGUUUCAGACUUUUAACAGAUCAUUGCCUCAACUGAAUCAGAGAUUCAGGGAAGUGCCGUGAUGAAAGACACACACUGUGCUUCUGAAGAGGAAUUCAGGAAAUGCAACUGCAGCUAGUAUAAAGAACUGCCACCUCUUUGCUUUGGUUAUGUGCAUCCCUAAAUUAGCCAUUAGAUAAUUCUGCCACUUCACUGAACGCUUGCCCAUUCUGCAUUGAAGAUAUUUAUUCUCCCUUGUGCAGGAGGAAAGACUUUAGUGGUAGUUAUGGAAAUAAAAGAGAGAAUAAAGCUCCU